AGAGUUUGAUCCUGGCUCAGGAUGAACGCUAGCGACAGGCUUAACACAUGCAAGUCGAGGGGCAGCACAGGUAGCAAUACCGGGUGGCGACCGGCGCACGGGUGAGUAACGCGUAUGCAACUUACCUAUCAGAGGGGGAUAACCCGGCGAAAGUCGGACUAAUACCGCAUGAAGCAGGGGCCCCGCAUGGGGAUAUUUGCUAAAGAUUCAUCGCUGAUAGAUAGGCAUGCGUUCCAUUAGGCAGUUGGCGGGGUAACGGCCCACCAAACCGACGAUGGAUAGGGGUUCUGAGAGGAAGGUCCCCCACAUUGGUACUGAGACACGGACCAAACUCCUACGGGAGGCAGCAGUGAGGAAUAUUGGUCAAUGGCCGAGAGGCUGAACCAGCCAAGUCGCGUGAAGGAUGAAGGAUCUAUGGUUUGUAAACUUCUUUUAUAGGGGAAUAAAGUGUGGGACGUGUUCCAUUUUGUAUGUACCCUAUGAAUAAGCAUCGGCUAACUCCGUGCCAGCAGCCGCGGUAAUACGGAGGAUGCGAGCGUUAUCCGGAUUUAUUGGGUUUAAAGGGUGCGUAGGUGGUAAUUUAAGUCAGCGGUGAAAGUUUGUGGCUCAACCAUAAAAUUGCCGUUGAAACUGGGUUACUUGAGUGUGUUUGAGGUAGGCGGAAUGCGUGGUGUAGCGGUGAAAUGCAUAGAUAUCACGCAGAACUCCAAUUGCGAAGGCAGCUUACUAAACCAUAACUGACACUGAAGCACGAAAGCGUGGGUAUCAAACAGGAUUAGAUACCCUGGUAGUCCACGCAGUAAACGAUGAUUACUAGGAGUUUGCGAUACACAGUAAGCUCUACAGCGAAAGCGUUAAGUAAUCCACCUGGGGAGUACGCCGGCAACGGUGAAACUCAAAGGAAUUGACGGGGGCCC
rnacentral:rRNA from 1 species